UGCCCCCUGAAAACAACCAUCAGGUCAGUGAGCAGAACGGAUCUCUCUUCAUGAUGGAGAAGGAGACUUUGGGGCAGGAAAGAGAUGCAGAGAUGUACAACUUCACAGCAAGAGGAGGAGCCCAGUGGCUGACUGGCAGCCUCACAGGACCAGCAAUUGGUUUUCAGCAGCUGUGUCCUUGUCACAAACUACCUCCAAAUGAGAUCAAAGCCCAGGUUACAGAUACUUAAAUGCCACACACCAAUCCACUGAAUGAGAUGCUUCUGUGGUGGAUAAGGAGGAUGAAAAGGCCAUCGUCAUAUACCAUGAGCCUCAACUACAGAGGAACAGAAACACCUUGAGGAAACAAGAGGGAGGGAAGAAAACCAACAGCUGUGGAAAUGAAAUUAACUCUAUUCUUAUCAGCACAUUUGCAGCUGCAAUUAAUGCCUAGGCAGGCCUCCUGGCAACUCCUAUUCCUUGAAAAUGCCAAAAUAGGACAUUUCACACUGGUGAACUCAUGCUUCCUUCCCUCUGCACCAGACUACCUUUACCACCCCUUCAUAUGAGUCACAGGAAUCUUCUAUGUUGGUGUCCAGUUGAGACAAACAGUACAGACUUGCAUCUGCAAGCUUUCUCUGUGCCUCUUGGUACUGAGAGCAUGUAACAGGAGGGCAGUCCGGGGUCACCGUGCUCUCCCCUGCCGCCUCCUUUACCGUGUCCAGGCUGCUGACUAGCACCCUCUAAUUCUCGCCCGCCACGACUUUGAUCUUAUAUAUUUUAUAGGGAGGCUGCCCUUAGUCUGCUUGUCCACGGUUCUCCUGUUAUCUUUAGGUCUUCUAUGGUAGUGAGUGUUCCUGUACACUCCAGCCUUAUGGGCUAUGCAUGGCUCCAACCACCCCUGUACCACGCCCCAAGCCUCGCAGAUGUAGCGGACGUUGUUAGGUCUCUCUCUCUCUCUCUCUCACACACCGUGCCCUCUCUAGCACUUGGGCUCUCCGCAAUCCCGUGUCUCUCUCUCUCUCUCUCUGCGCCCACUCUCCGGGCCUUCUCAGUAAUGCCGCCCUCUCUCAGGGGCCUUCUCAGUAAUGCCGCCCUCUCUCAGGGCUCAGCACGCCCACACUGGGGCUUCUUAGCAAUGCCCCCUUCUCUGGGGCUCACCACAAUGCUGCCACCUUCUCUGGGGCUCACCACGCCUGCACUGGGGCUUCUCAGCAACGCCCUCUCUCUGGGGCUUCUCAACUGCCCCUCUCUGGAGCUGGAGUCUGUGCACCCCGAAUGCUGCGCCCUCACUGGCACUGGGGUCCCCACACCACUGUGAGUCCCCUAUGAGGCCUCCUCCAACACCUAAUAGCCUCACCCAAACCACUGGUGUAACAAAUAGCAACACAAACACAAGCCCCUUUGGCUACAACACAAACAGAAGCCACCCGGCUAUAAUCAUGCUCAAGCCUACCGGAGAUCCUUUAUCUCUCAGCAGUGUCAGACGUUGCUCCUGCCUCCGGCUUCUCCUCUCUUCCAUGACCGAGAUCUCUUUUCUCCUUAGCUGCUGGUAGGGAACUCCCCCCUUGCUUCCUGCCUGUGGUUUAUAUAGGAGCCAGGCCCUGCCCCUUCUUGUCAGCUGACUAGACAGGUGUGAGUCAUUAGUUCCCUCCAGUUGCCUCAGCAACCGGCACCUGAGGGGUUAUCCCAGCUCUCCAAGUAGCAGGCACCUUAGUGCCCUGCUACAGAGCACCAUCACCCCAUCACUGUAUACAGGAAACUGAUGAAUAAUUUUCAUCACUCUGAGACACAUGAUAGUGUAUACCAAGAAAUUAAUGGCCACAGUCAUCUAGUGAUUCUGUGGCACACCUGGGAACUAAAAUAACAUUUCCCUCCGACCUUGAGCCUCAGUUGAGUGUCUUGGACAUGGCCAUUUUUCUUUGUUCUUGCUGUUUCAGUUUUGACUCAGAUAUUGACAAUGGGUGCUGCCUGUUAAAUGGCAGUAUGCCUUUUAUGGAUUUCUUGGAAAAAUCUAUGAUGGCACCAGAGUAUAAAGCUCUGAACAGGCAUCUGAGAAGGAACAAUGAGCUUGAACAGAGAGAAAAAUAAUGUAGUAGAUAACUGUUUCAUUAUAUGUGUAUAAUACUCCUUGCUAAUUUCACCCUGCUGGAGAAGGAAAUUGAUUUAUAACAUAAUUCUCUGUUUUAUGUGCUGUAUUGAUAAACAUUCCAUAUGAGAUGGGACCCUUUUAAUACUAGACUCAUAAUAAAGAAUUAAGUCUUUCUCUUC